GUCACUAUAGUUUAAUAA
rnacentral:tRNA from 2 species